rnacentral:rRNA from 1 species
AUUGAACGCUGGCGGCAGGCCUAACACAUGCAAGUCGAGCGGAUGAAGGGAGCUUGCUCCUGGAUUCAGCGGCGGACGGGUGAGUAAUGCCUAGGAAUCUGCCUGGUAGUGGGGGAUAACGUCCGGAAACGGGCGCUAAUACCGCAUACGUCCUGAGGGAGAAAGUGGGGGAUCUUCGGACCUCACGCUAUCAGAUGAGCCUAGGUCGGAUUAGCUAGUUGGUGGGGUAAAGGCCUACCAAGGCGACGCUCCGUAACUGGUCUGAGAGGAUGAUCAGUCACACGGGAACUGAGACACGGUCCGGACUCCUACGGGAGGCAGAAGUGGGGAAUAUUGGACAAUGGGCGAAAGCCUACUCCAGCCAUGCCGCGUAGGUGAAGAAGGUCUUCGGAUUUUAAAGCACAUUAAGUUGGGAGGAAGGGCAGUAAGUUAAUACCUUGCUGUUUUGACGUUACCAACAGAAUAAGCACCGGCUAACUUCGUG